GUUCUUUAAAUUUAAAAAAUUUGGCGGUAUUUUAGUCUUAUUAGAGGAAUCUGUUUAUUAAUUGAUAAUCCACGAUUAAUUUUACUUAUUUUAUUUAAUUCAUAUAUCGCUGUCAUGAAUAUAUUUAAAAAUUUAUUUUCUUUAAUUAUUUUAAUAAUUUAUGUUAAGUCAAGAUGUGGUUUAUAAAUAAGAAUAUAAUGGGUUACAUUAAAUUUUAUUUUUGGAUUUAAAAUGAAAAUUAAAAUGAAAUUGGAUUUAAUAGUAAGUUUAAUUAAUUUAUUAGUAUGAAUAAAGAUCUAAAUU
rnacentral:rRNA from 1 species